UCCUUCUGAUGCGACACUCAUCCAUGCUCCUUCUUUUUCAUAAAAUGGGUGGUUUGGUUGUUGAUCCAUUAAUCAAAUAAAUUAGGUCGUAAGAUCGAAUCAUCGCGGUGGCGAGACGCCAGGACAGCAAAAAGCCGACGCGAGGGGCGGAGCGGAGGCGAGCGCAUCUUCGUCUCAGACCAUGGCCGGUGACGCCCCAGCGCACAGAGACUCAAUAAUGGAUUAUGAGGAACCUACUGAUGGAUCUUUCUCAACAUGUGUUUUUGCCUCUCGGUUGUGUCUGGUUGCGCGGAAACAUCUAAAUGAUUAAAAAGAGGGUAGUCAUAAACAAGUCAGCUUCGGAUCAAUGAUGAAUAUCGCCUCAUUCUCUGUACCAGAGCCUCAAGAGUGGAUGAUGAGAUUGAAGAACCUACUGAUGGGUCCUUCACAACAUGUUUUUCAGCUUCUCGCUUGCGUCAGGUUGCUGAGAAUAUUCCCCCCCCCUCUUUCGUACCAGAUAAGCUGCUAGACCGGGUAAUCAUGAAGAUUGACACU